UACGUAGGUGGCAAGCGUUGUCCGGAAUUAUUGGGCGUAAAGCGCGCGCAGGCGGUCCUUUAAGUCUGAUGUGAAAGCCCACGGCUCAACCGUGGAGGGUCAUUGGAAACUGGGGGACUUGAGUGCAGAAGAGGAGAGUGGAAUUCCACGUGUAGCGGUGAAAUGCGUAGAGAUGUGGAGGAACACCAGUGGCGAAGGCGGGUCUCUGGGCCGAUACUGACGCUGAGGAGCGAAAGCGUGGGGAGCGAACAGG
rnacentral:rRNA from 1 species